AGAUUCCCCAUAGACGCUGGAGAAAGACUGAAUUCUUACUCUUCAAAGAAAAAUAUCAAAAGAGGAGGAUGAUGUUCAAGCUAUCACCGAUUGGCCUGCUCUUCAUGUUUGUUAACAUUCCGGGGACAAACUUCAACAUCAACAACCUCAAAUUCUAUGGCAGUAUCCAAUCCUGCGUCAAGCCUGAAUCCCGGGACCAGACCUAAUCCCAGGAAGAGCACCAAUCCCAGAAUGAACCCCAAUCCUGGGAUAAGCCCAGAUCUCAAAAUGACCUCGAGUCCCAAGAUGACUCCAAAUUCCAAGACAAGUCUGAAUAGAGCAGUGACCCCAAAGAGCCACAACUAUGAAUAUGAAUACUGUGACAAAUGGUAGCACCAAUCCUGGGACAAGCCCAAAUCUCAAAAUGACCUCAAAUCCCUAGAUGACUCCAAAUUCCAAGACAAGUCUGAAUACAGCAGUGACCCCAAAGAUAGCCACAACUAUGAAUAUGAACACUGUGACAAAUGGUAGCACCAUACUCAAUCCAAUGGACAACAUUUAUUUUCUAUGUAAUAUUUUUGCUGUUUUGUGUAUACUUGCACUCAGGCUGAAGUGAACUUCAACUGCCUGCAUUCUUAUCUCAGUUUCUUAUUAUUGCUGAAUGACAAGCAUGCUAGGAAAAUAUCAUUUAUUUCAAUUUACUAUUUAAGAAAUUAUCAUCUUGAUUUUUUUUUGCAAAUUAUAAUUGUGUACGUUUAAAUAUUAACUUAAUAUGAUGUUUUCCUUCCAUAUGAAAGAAGUAUGCACUACCUUAUUAAAUGCUGAAACAAGCAAAA